ensembl:snRNA U6 U6 spliceosomal RNA
GCUCGCUUCGGCAGUGCAUAUACCAAAAUUGGAACUAUACAGAGAAGAUUAGCAUGGCCCCUGCGCAAGGAUGACAUACAAAUUUGUGAAGUGUUCCAUAUUUUU